UCGCAGUGAGAAGCCGGUUUGAAGGGAGUUGGACUAGAAAGAACCAAGACGCGGCGAUAGAGCAACUUGCUGUUUGGGGAACCGCUAGGAAACUGGGAAGUGAAACUGGGGCGGUAUCUUCGUUUUUACGGAUUAAGUUACAAUGUAGCGCGUCCUAAUAGAUACAAGAGUGGUAGCUGAAUAGUUGUACGUGCAUUUUAAACUAGAGCUAUAAUAGAUGCGUUUCGUCCAUUACUAGAACUGUCAGAUUUGAUUGAGAGAGUUAAGGUGUGGCUGUCUUCAAAACGUUUUUUCUUCUUCAAGGCUUUCCUCUGAACUAAAUGCUUAUAAUAAUAAAGCUUGACAUAUUUACAGUGAGAAGUAGCCUAGCUGAUCGAUUUUCAACAUUAAUGGCGCAUUUGAAAAAGGAACCAUUCGAUUAUACGACCUAGAGUGCCACCUCGACAAGGAUAAUAUGCAUUAUUCUAAACAUUACGGAUGGAGUCUAUUCUGCUAUUAUUUGGAUGAUUAUAACAAGUAUUUAAUAAUCGUGUAGGUUAAUUCGCUGUAUAAUGUUUUGAAAUGGAUGUGGCAACUUUACGGUAGUAUCGCAUUCUACAUAUGAAAGGUAAAUCAACGGACCUGUGGGGGAGUAGGCCUACUCGGUGAUAUAGAGCUAUUCUCGCACGAUAAUCGAUUUAAAAAGAAACAUCUUUAGAUUUUUUUCCUUUAUGAUCAAUGGCGAUACUUGUAACUAGUCUACUGCCAUUUUGAGUCCCACCGAGGAAAGAAGUUAGUCUAACCUACAGAAAAAAGUAAGUGCGUCAAUAUUAAUUUAAAAACGUUUAAAUGUCUUUAUGAGUGUGGAAUAACCUUAACUGAAUAUAAUACAGUAAUCCAGAUAGGCUGCAAUUAAAAGAUAAAAUAGCGCGUCAAAUGAACCCCGAUGACUAUAUGCCUACUGAGAAUAUUGCCAUAACUGUUACUAAUGAAGCAAAUUGAAUGUUACAAAUUAUGUAAUCAAAUAGUUGACUUGCAGUUCCAUUUGGACUAUAUGUAGUCCGCUGGUCUGUAGGCGGUGCAUUAAUUACCAUAUCACUUCAUUCAGUACAGCUGUGAAUUGAAUAUUAGAUUUAUGAGUUAUUUCAAAGGCCAUCUCAUAUAGGCUAAACGUUAAAUGGAUUGGAUUAUGGACACUUCUGUUGCGCGCAUUCGUGGCCUAUAGAGCCUACGGGCGUGCCCAUCAAUUAGCCUACUUGUGAAGAAGAAUGGGGCCAAAGGGGCCAGAAUAAGAUUCGGUCAUAUUUAAAACUUUAAAAAAAUAUAUGUAAAAUAUCAAGAUCAUUCCUGUACUGUAAAAACGCGUUAAAAUACCUAUUCAUAGAUCUGAUGUUUGACUUAUUAACUUUUAGUAUUUAGUAGUAGGGUAGACUAAAGACAUGAUGAAUUUAACCUUACUCAUAUCUUUUCAUUAUUUAGUUACAGUAACUCACUGUAAUUUGCUUUAAUUCGAUUUAAAGGAGAGAAUUGUGGAGCGAAUGCCUCAAGGCCCCACCCUUUACAGCGAAACAUGGAUGUGGAUCACAAUUUUCCCCAGAAGUUUCUUGUUUCCCGUUUUCCUCUCUCUAACUUUACGUUGCCAAGUGUGUAGCCAUAGGCCCUGCUUUAAGUGGAGAGAGCCUGUAACCUCCAUAUAAACUGGCUGGCAACCCCCUAAAGAUCAAGCUGCAGGAUCUUCAUUCAAGCUCCAAUCAGUCUCCCUUCCUUUGAUCAAGAUUCCACCUCUGCCCACCCUGAUGGCCAAAGAUGAAGAAGAUGUAGCGUAGUGUGUGUGUGUGUGUGUGUGUGUGUGUGUGUGUGUGUGUGUGUGUGUGUGUGUGUGUGUGUGUGUGUGUGUGUGUGUGUUUGUACAUGUUGCGUGGGUGCUCACUGGCUGACCCACAGCAGUUCUUCACUGGCAAGCUUUAUGUCCUUGUGUACCAACUAAAGCUGCCAGCUGAAGAACUGUUGUGGUUAGCUCUUUCCUGCAUCCCACACAGAAGACCAACAGACGCCUUCGAGAAAUGUGUGUGUGUGUCCAGAUGCCAUGUAUCGGAUCAGUGAAUUCUCCAUCCAGAUGUUCCAUUUUGCAGCCAAUGGUAGCAGUGUACAGUAUAUUUAGAGGUAAAUACAGCACACGUGAAGAUUAGGCUAAACAGAAUAACUAGCUAUCCAAGACAAAAGGUCUCAGUUAAAAACACAUGAACCCACUGCACUCAAAUGUAAUGUUUUCAUUAAGUCUUCUGCUCAUGUCACAGAGCUAAUGAAGGCUCCAAGUAUGAAAAAUGCUUACAAACUAUGAAAUAUGUUUACUAAGUCUGAAGUUUGCUUACUAAAUAUCAAGUAUGGUCCCAAAGUAUGAGGUACGCUUGAAGUAUGCUUACUGAAGACAGAUUUGACUAUAUGUGUGCUGUAUUUUGCUCUAUUUACACUAUAUUGUAUUUAGUUUUAUGUAUGUAUACUCAACAGAGUUGUAUGCUUUCAUGUACAAUGUGAGCUCUUUUAAACCACACUAUCAGCAUCAACUGCCCCCACAAAUGGCUGCUUUAUUCUACUCAGGCAUUAACAAAGACGACUGCACAUUGAUGCUACUGUACAUGCUGAGUCAGCCAACAUUCCACACCCCAGCCAGGACCCGCCUGCUGCCCUUAUAUGGGUUGAAGCUGCAUGGUGGGGCAUCAUGGGUGCUUCAUUGUAUAUCAGAACAAAACAUCUCUAGAAUAAUUUCUUAUGCUACUCAAAAACAACAAAAAGUAGAAGGAUAGGAAGGUAGAUGGACUGGCUACUCAAAAGCUAGCAGUGUGUAAAAGCAUAGAAUGAUUGAACGAUACAGUAUGAUAGAUUGGGGAAAGGAUAGAAGGAAAGACCGAGGGAAGGUUAGGAGGAUAGAUGGAGGGAAGGUUAGGAGGAUAGAUGGAUGGAUGAAAGGGAAAGAAGGAGGGAGGGAGAACAAGGCAAGGACAUACGACAAACAGCUGGACAAAACCAGCCUCCUGACAUGCUGGUAAAGGCAAUUUGUGACAUUGUUCUAGACUUUGCUGUGCUGUUUGUCUCAAACCAUGACUGCUCAGGCCCUCUCUGUUCCCUUUCUCUCUCCCUCUCUCUUCUCUUUCUCUCUCUCCUCACUUUCUAUGUGUGUGUCUCUCUCUAACUCUUUCUAUUUGACUCUUUCUCUCUCUCUCUUUCUCUUUCUCUCUCUCUCCCUCUCUCUUUGUUACACACCCCCACAUACGCACACACACACAGCAUACAAUAAAUCUGACUUCAAGGGCGGUGUUGGCGUCGGCAAGAACAGGAUAUGAGAGCGUGUCCCUCUAAAAACCUUCCCCUCCAGAUGAGAACAAAGGUAGAGAAUGUUCCAGAUUCCCUGGCCGCUGCAGUCUAGGAACAUGUGGAGCCAAGAGUUGGCCAACGAGCAGUCCUUAUCUUUUCCCCCUUCUUUCCAUGCAUUUUCUCUCUGUUGUCUAGCUUGUCCAUCUCUGUUUUUGGCCUCUUGGUAAGCUAGCUUUUUGUUUUGUACUAUUAUCUCUUUGUUAGUGUAUCUGCUUCAAUCUCCUUAUCUUGUUGUCUUGUCACUCUUCUCAUUCUUUCUCCCCUCUUCUGUCUAGCAUCCCUCUUAAAACACACACAAAGACACACAAACAUAGAGGUACAGAGAGACAAACUCACACACACACAGAGACAGAAAGCGACACACACACAGAGACAGAGCGACACACACACACACACACACACACACACACACACACACACACACACACACACACACACACACACACACACAUACACAGAGACAGAGAGCAACACACACACAGAGAGCAACACACACACACACACACACACACACACACACACACACACACACACACACACACACACACACACACACACACACACACACACAUCCCUCAGACAGGAUUAUCCCACUCUCACAAGUUGAUCCUCUCUGGUAAGCACUGCCAGUCCCCUGUGAGCAUGUAACAGAAGCACUGCAGUCAGGGCAAGGCUGUGACCUAGAGAGUAGUGUGUUUGUGUGUCUGCGUCUCUGUUUGUGUGUGUGUAUUCCUCUGUGUGUGUGUGUGUGUGUCCCGCUGUGUGUUUGGGUGUGUGUGUGUCUCCCGCUGUGUGUUUGUGUGUGUGUGUCUCCCGCUGUGUGUUUGUGUGUGUCAGGUCACAGGCCAAGGUCUCCUACCUGAUCCGCUCUGAGGGAAUCGGCCUGCGAGUACAUUAAGAGAUUGCGGUGGGGCGCCGAGCCGAGGCUCACUGGCUCGACUUAAAGACAUACACACAUAAUCCUGGCUGCUCUGCUCCACCUAACAAGGAUACACGUGGCAGGUGUGUCUUUCAGGGUGUGUGUGUGUGUCUGUCAGUGUCUGUCAGUGUGUUUGUGUGUAUCGUCUCUGAGCUUUACCCCACCUAUGCCCUCUCAGGCGUGCCCCUGUCCUUGGGCACCCUUACCCACCCUAAAGUCACUUCAUCUGCCAACUGGAUAAAGAUAGAGAGGGGUACACAGAGACGAGAGAGAGGGGUACACAGAGAUGAGAGAAAGAGGGGAUACACAGAGACGAGGGAGAGAGAGAGACCGACAGAUGGAGGGAGAGAGGGAAGCAAACAGUAGAGAGACGUGACAGGACAGAGGUUACCCAACACCAUCAUGCCAUCCUGCCCAGCCUGAUCACACAAAGCACAGUCAAAGCACACCAACACCUAACCAUGCACUUUAACUAUGGAGGCUUGAGAUCUGCAAGUGUAUGGUAUGUGUUUUGGUAUGCUAUAAAAUGCUAUGCUACGUAAUUCCACGGUAUGUCACGUGGUCUGUGUUAAUUUUGAUGUGAUAAUAAAUUGAAUUGCACGGAGACACAA